rnacentral:rRNA from 1 species
UNAUAUGCUUGUCUCAAAGAUUAAGCCAUGCAUGUCUCAGUGCAAGCCGUCUAGUACGGUGAAACCGCGAAAGGCUCAUUAAAUCAGUUAUGGUUCCUUAGAUCGUACCCACGUUACUUGGAUAACUGUGGUAAUUCUAGAGCUAAUACAUGCCGAUAGAGUUCCGACCAGCUGUUCAGAUUUGCGGCGGCAACGUCGCUGCUGGACGUUCGGAAGGAACGCUUUUAUUAGAUCAAAACCGGCCAGAUGGUCGUUCCGCUUCGGCGGUUCGGCUGUAAGCGGCCCGCGCAAAGACUUGGUGACUCUGAAUAACUUCGAGCUGAUCGCACGGUCUCGCACCGGCGACGUAUCUUUCAAAUGUCUGCCUUAUCAACUGUCGACGGUAGGUUCGACGCCUACCGUGGUGGUAACGGGUAACGGGGAAUCAGGGUUCGAUUCCGGAGAGGGAGCCUGAGAAACGGCUACCACAUCCAAGGAAGGCAGCAGGCGCGCAAAUUACCCACUCCCAGCUCGGGGAGGUAGUGACGAAAAAUAACGAUAUAAGACUCAUUCGAGGCCUUAUAAUCGGAAUGAGUACACUCUAAAACCUUGGUCACACGAGGAUCAAUUGGAGGGCAAG